rnacentral:tRNA from 1 species
GCGGGUAUGGUUUAGUGGAAGAAUAUCUCGUUGCCAACGAGAAGACGCGAGUUCGAUUCUCGCUACCCGCACCA